UGAGGAUUCACGUAUUUCUAGUGUUGUCAUCUAAUGUUAAGAUAUCUAGUCUGAGUUAAUUAUCUAGGUUUCUGUUCUAAUUGUUAGACAGAAAGAGAGGAGAAAACAGGAGCCUACUGAAGAAGACUGAAAUAAAUGACCAAGGACAAACUUAUGUCAGUGUGGACUAAUAUGUUAGGUUCUUGUGUCACUGUUCUUCAUUUCAAAAAACACCUGAAAAUAAUGACUUUACUUCUUCCUCACUCAGUAAAAUUUUUCUCUCCAAAAUAUUCACUUACUCGAAGUAUAAGGUUUUCUUUUUCUCACAUUGAAGCCUAAAAUACACUGCCUUAAUUUUCUUCUUAUUUCUUAAGCCUGCAGAAGGUGAUGGAUUUUCUAGCAAUGCAGAACUUGUGACUAUUAUAUUGAAUACUGGAACACUAAUGGAUGAACUUCUUUGUGUGUGCUUUAUCUUAGGAGUUGUAAAUCAUUAAUCAUUUGUUUUAUGUUAUUCAAUUUCUGGAAUGUCAUGCAUUGAUUUGACAAGAUCGACAGACAGGCCAUCUGAUAGGCAGUGAGAAGUCUAGGAUAGCCCACUUUGUGUCUUGUGAUUUUAAUCAGGCAUUAGACUUCAGAAUAUAGCCAUACCAUAUCUGUAUGACUGUUUGAGUAUGGAACACAUAAAAGUGUACAAGAUAAGGUACAAAAGGGAAAACACAUUUCAAUAGACUGGGGUAUUUUCUUUGUUAAGAAAUCUACAACUAUUGGAGAAUCUUUUUAUAGAUAAUCUGGCAUUGCUGUACUAAGUUUAACAAUAGAAGAGGUUAUAAUAGUUGAGACAUUCCCAAAUUUAGAGUAAAGAAAGUAUAGUAUACGAAGGAGGUAUAAUAUGGAAUGUAUUCAAUACACCAGUUUUGAACCUAGGUGAGAAUUAAGAGACUAAAUUAUGAUAUUAAUUAAGGAAAAUCCAUCCUAGCUCAUAAUCAGAAAUUUUCACAGAUGAAAGCUGUGCUCAGCACAGUGUUUGCCUUUGGAUUGGGUUAGCUAAGAAGGUGGCAUAUUAGCAGGCAGAACAAAAGUGUUUCUUUGCCUAUAUCCUUUGGUGAUACUAGUAUGAAUGGUCAGGCCUUACCAGCAUGCUCUGAAGGGUCUGUGGUAGCCAG